rnacentral:tRNA from 1 species
GACCGCGUAGCUCAGUUGGCAGAGCAUUGGGCUAGUAUUCCAAAGGUAUUAGGUUCGAUUCCCAUCGUGGUCA